UGGCUCUGUUUCCUGGGUGGUAGAUUCAACCUCUUCUACCUCCCCUCAGAUGAGCCUAGAGUAGACAGGCCAGAAGUCCACUCCCUGGGAGAGGCAUUCAAGAAAGGAGCCUUGCCCAGGCUGUCCCAGCCUCACAUUU
rnacentral:snoRNA from 1 species